GACGAACGCUGGCGGCGUGCUUAACACAUGCAAGUCGAACGGAAAGGCCCUGCUUGCAGGGUGCUCGAGUGGCGAACGGGUGAGUAACACGUGGGUGAUCUGCCCCUUACUUUGGGAUAAGCCUGGGAAACUGGGUCUAAUACUGGAUAGGACCAUGCUGUAGGUGGUGUGGUUGAAAGAUUAGUUUCGGUAAGGGAUGAGCUCGCGGCCUAUCAGCUUGUUGGUGGGGUAAUGGCCUACCAAGGCGUCGACGGGUAGCCGGCCUGAGAGGGUGGACGGCGACAUUGGGACUGAGAUACGGCGCAGAGUCCUACGGGAGGCAGCAGUGGGGGAUAGUGGACAAUGGGCGCAAGCCUGAGGCAGCGACGCCGCGUGGGGGAUGACGGCCUUCGGGUUGUAAACUCCUUUCAGCCAUGACGAAGCCCUUGUGGUGACGGUAGUGGAAGAAGAAGCACCGGCUAACUACGUG
rnacentral:rRNA from 1 species